rnacentral:rRNA from 1 species
AGAGAGAGACAUGCGCGCAUAUCAAUAAGCGGAGGAAAAGAAACUAACUAGGAUUCCCUUAGUAACGGCGAGUGAAGCGGGAAGAGCUCAAAUUUGAAAUCUUCAAGGUUUACCUUGACGAAUUGUAGUUUAAAGAAGUGUUUUCUGCUGGAGUUUUGGUAAAAGUUCUUUGGAAUAGGACAUCAUAGAGGGUGAGAAUCCCGUAUUUGACCAUUAUUUCCAGCUUUGUGAUACACUUUCAAAGAGUCGGAUUGUUUGGGAAUGCAGUCCAAAAUGGGUGGUAAAUUUCAUCUAAAGCUAAAUAUUGGCGAGAGACCGAUAGCGAACAAGUACCGUGAGGGAAAGAUGAAAAGAACUUUGAAAAGAGAGUUAAACAGUACGUGAAAUUGUCAAAAGGGAAGCGUUUGACACCAGUGUUGUUUUCUCGAAAAUCAAUUAAAAAUGGCUCGAUUUUGUAUUGCUUGAGACCUUAAAAGCUCACUGUACAUUUUUCGUGUCUUUUUUAAUGCACUUUUCGUUUAACAAGUCAACAUCAGUUUCUUUUGUUGUAAAAGGGUCAUUGGAAGGUGGCUUUCUUUUCGGAGAAAGUGUUUAUAGCCUUUGGCCUCUGCAAUCGGAGAGACUGAGGUCUGCAGCGUAGACUCUUCGGGGUUAGAUACAUUUGUGCUAAGUUAUAGCUUUUUAUAGACAACUUGUUGACUAUAAUUAGUCUUGUAGCUUACUCGCUUAUGCUAUUUUACCUACGCUUAGGAUGUUGAAGAUGUAGCACAUCAU